rnacentral:ncRNA from 1 species
AAAGUUCUGCCAGCACAAAGGCUUGGUCCUAGCCUUACUGUCAGCUGUUACUCAACUUACACAUGCAAGUAUCCGCACACCCGUGAAAACGCCCUUUCAAUCUUUCUAGAAAAAGGAGCUGGUAUCAGGCACAGAAUAUCUUGCCCAUAACGCCUAGCUAUGCCACGCCCACAAUGGGUCCACAGCAGUGAUAAACAUUGUCCAUAAGCGCCAGCUUGACCCAGUCAGAGUAAACAGAGCCGGCCAACCCGGUGCCAGCCGCCGCGGCUAUCCCGUCGGGCCCAAGUUGACAAGCACCGGCGUUAAGCGUGUUUAAAGUGCCACACCACAUUAGAAUCAAACUUCAACAAAGUUGUGACACACUUGUUAUUAAGAAGCCCAAAAACGAAAGUUAUUCUAACUAACCCACUUGAACCCACGACAGCUGAGACACAAACUGGGAUUAGGCACCCCACUAUGCCCAGCUGUAAAACAUUAACUCACACCACAACCCGCCAGGGAAUUACGAGCCCAAGCUUAAAACCCAAAGGACUUGACGGUGCCCCACCCACCUAGAGGAGCCUGUUCUAUAAUCGAUUUUCCCCGAUAUACCUCACCACUUCUAGCCUUUCAGCCUGUAUACCUCCGUCGUAAGCUUACCAUAUGAGCGUUAAUUAGUGAGCUAAAAGACCCAUCGUCAACACGUCAGGUCAAGGUGCAGCCCACGAAAUGGCAAGCAAUGGGCUACAAUCUCUAACUUAGAACAAACGAAAGACUACAUGAAACCUAGUCACGAAGGCGGAUUUAGCAGUAAAAAGAAAAUAGAGUGUUCUUUUUAACCCGGCACUGGGACGCGUACACACCGCCCGUCACCCUCUUCAAACACACCUAUUGCGUUAAUAACACAAAACUUGUACUACAGAAGAGGCAAGUCGUAACAUGGUAAGCGUACUGGAAAGUGCGCUUGGAUAA